CCAGCCGUUACCAGCUUCUCAUAACUAUGUGACCCAAGGAGGACACACCCAUUCAAAAAGAAAAAUCUCCCUCAUCUAUAAAUAAGGAGAGCACCCAUCUGACGUGGGUUUGAAGGGAAUUUACACAGAGGUGCGAUGAAGUAGCACAGAAUGUUACUUUUCAUGCUCAGAAGGUGCCUUGGACUCUUUACUCUCAUUCCUCAUUUUUUCACUGGGGCAGGCUGAGCAGCUCUGCCCCGCCCCACUGCUGGUCAGGUCUCCUGGCAUGUUAGGCUUGAUAGAUAGCGGCAACUCAUGAAACCAUCAUGAAGGGUCAGACCCCCUACUGACAACCCAGUAACUCAGUUUCGGGCAGAAGAACCACCUCUCCUCUCCCAGGCUGGACUUGAACAAGCAGUUGUCUGCCCACCACAGUCCCACGGCCCCCGGGUUUCUGGAGGGAGAGCUGCAGAGUGAUACGUGGAUAUCAACAGUCUACAGAGGGCCCACUGAACUCCCAUGCCCAGUGCUCUGGGAUCUCUCCACUGACCACAGGUUCUAGAAGCCUUUGUUGUCCCGGGCACCACUCAGGGGAUGUGAGACAACACAGCAGUGGAGAAAACCACAGCAGGCUUCCUCCACAGGUCAUUCACAAGUCGGUCUCAGGUGGUGGGGUGGGGGUGCAGUUUCACUAACUGUAAUCUGGAAAAAAAACCACACCCCUCCCAGGACUUCCCUGUUCUAAUAAAAAGCUUCUUUUCCUCCGCCCUUUUGAAA